rnacentral:misc_RNA from 1 species
AACGUCGGAGGAAACAUGCGCGCAACUCUGCUGAAGGCCUUUGCCCUUCUCCUCGUUUUCUCGACGCCCGCGGUGGCGCAGGACUAUCCGUCGAAGCCGCUGCGCCUGAUCAUUCCGUUCGCGCCGGGCGGCAGCGUCGACAUCGUGGCGCGGCUCGCCGCGCAGAAGCUCGGCGACCGGCUCGGCAAGCAGGUGCUGGCGGAGAACCGCGCCGGCGCCGGCGGCAUCAUCGGCUUAGAGCUUGCGAUCGCAGCGCCGCCGGAUGGCCACACCCUGGUGCUCGUCUCGCUGGCGCACGCGGUCAAUCC